CGGCGGCGACGGAGGGCUACGUGGUAGCGGCGCGACGGACGAUGGCGACGGCACAGGUGACACGACGGUGGCGGUGCGAACAGCUCCUCCUCCCCUAGCGCUCUCCCUCUCUCACGGGUCUUCUUCU